UACGUAGGGCGCAAGCGUUAUCCGGAAUUAUUGGGCGUAAAGAGCUCGUAGGCGGUUUGUCGCGUCUGCCGUGAAAGUCCGGGGCUCAACUCCGGAUCUGCGGUGGGUACGGGCAGACUAGAGUGAUGUAGGGGAGACUGGAAUUCCUGGUGUAGCGGUGAAAUGCGUAGAUAUCGGGAGGAACACCAGUGGCGAAGGCGGCUACCUGGCACAUAACUGACGCUGAUACGCGAAAGCGUGGGAGCGAACCGG
rnacentral:rRNA from 1 species